CCUCAGCUUGCUGGGGUACUCGAGUGGCGAACGGGUGAGUAACACGUGGGUGAUCUGCCCUGCACUUUGGGAUAAGCCUGGGAAACUGGGUCUAAUACCGAAUAUGACCACUUCUUGGAUGUUGUGGUGGAAAGCUUUUGCGGUGUGGGAUGAGCCUGCGGCCUAUCAGCUUGUUGGUGGGGUAAUGGCCUACCAAGGCGGCGACGGGUAUCCGGCCUGAGAGGGUGUACGGACACAUUGGGACUGAGAUACGGCCCAGACUCCUACGGGAGGCAGCAGUGGGGAAUAUUGCACAAUGGGCGCAAGCCUGAUGCAGCGACGCCGCGUGGGGGAUGAAGGCCUUCGGGUUGUAAACUCCUUUCGCUAUCGACGAAGCCACUUGUGGUGACGGUAGGUAGAUAAGAAGCACCGGCUAACUACGUGCCAGCAGCCGCGGUAAUACGUAGGGUGCAAGCGUUGUCCGGAAUUACUGGGCGUAAAGAGCUCGUAGGUGGUUUGUCGCGUCGUCUGUGAAAUCCCGGGGCUUAACUUCGGGCGUGCAGGCGAUACGGGCAUAACUUGAGUGCUGUAGGGGAGACUGGAAUUCCUGGUGUAGCGGUGAAAUGCGCAGAUAUCAGGAGGAACACCGAUGGCGAAGGCAGGUCUCUGGGCAGUAACUGACGCUGAGGAG
rnacentral:rRNA from 1 species